UACGAAAGGGGGGCUAGCGUUGCUCGGAAUCACUGGGCGUAAAGGGUGCGUAGGCGGGUCUUUUAAGUCAGGGGGUGAAAUCCUGGAGCUCAACUCCAGAACUGCCUUUGAUACUGAGGAUCUUGAGUUCGGGAGAGGUGAGUGGAACUGCGAGUGUAGAGGUGAAAUUCGUAGAUAUUCGCAAGAACACCAGUGGCGAAGGCGGCUCACUGGCCCGAGUACUGACGCUGAGGCACGAAAGCGUGGGGAGCAA
rnacentral:rRNA from 1 species